CCUACGGGGGGCAGCAGUGAGGAAUAUUGGUCAAUGGACGAGAGUCUGAACCAGCCAAGUAGCGUGAAGGAUGACUGCCCUAUGUGUUGUAAACUUCUUUUAUAUGGGAAUAAAAUGUUCCACGUGUGGGCUUUUGUAUGUACCAUAUGAAUAAGGAUCGGCUAACUCCGUGCCAGCAGCCGCGGUAAUACGGAGGAUGCGAGCGUUAUCCGGAUUUAUUGGGUUUAAAGGGAGCGUAGGUGGUUUGUUAAGUCAGUUGUGAAAGUUUGCGGCUCAACCGUAAAAUUGCAGUUGAAACUGGCAGUCUUGAGUACAGUAGAGGUAGGCGGAAUGCGUGGUGUAGCGGUGAAAUGCUUAGAUAUCACGAAGAACUCCGAUUGCGAAGGCAGCUCACUGGACUGCAACUGACACUGAGGCUCGAAAGUGUGGGUAUCAAACAGGAUUAGAUACCCGGGUAGUC
rnacentral:rRNA from 1 species